GCGUCCAGAGACCGGGGAGGGAAACGCGAUGGCUCUUGAGUAUAGGGUUUGAUCUCCUGGAGAAGGAGAGGGGGUCACAUUCUAGGUUCAUGCUGUGCCAGUGGCGAGACGCGUGUAAUGUAAAGAAUGUCUGCUAUUUCCAGAUUCCAGUAGGCCCAAGGAAGACAAUCAACCAUUCUGAACGGCACAUAACAUCAUCAGGAGACAGAUUGCAUAAAGCUGCUCCGUGAUUGAUUCCUACAGUCAAUAUAUCCCAUCCAGUCACCGAGACAUUCCUUGGAGAGAUCCCUCCGGUCAACAUGACAUGAUUUAGCAGCAAUUCGAAAUGGGACAACUAUCUUGGAUCAGAAACUUUGGGAAGAAUGAGACAUCAAGAGGGAGAAAUGAAAACGGAGCCAGGCACUUUAUCAUCCAGAAUCGGAUCGACCGGGAACCGUCACGCAACAGGAGAAGAUACGGACGUCCGGAGACGGAGUCGAACUCAUUUCCCAGCAUCGAGUGGAAAUUUCCAGCUCAAUUAAGAGAUGGACAAAAUUGGCAUCUGACCUAGAAUGACUGGAUAUGAAAUAAACCAAAUUGGGCCAUCUU